rnacentral:rRNA from 1 species
AGCGAACGCUGGCGGCAGGUCUAACACAUGCAAGUCGAACGGGCUCUUCGGAGCUAGUGGCGGACGGGUGAGUAACACGUGGGAACGUGCCUUUAGGUUCGGAAUAAGCCCGGGAAACUGGGUCUAAUACCGAAUGUGCCCUUCGGGGGAAAGAUUUAUCGCCUUUAGAGCGGCCCGCGUCUGAUUAGCUUGUUGGUGAGGUAAUGGCUCACCAAGGCGACGAUCAGUAGCUGGUCUGAGAGGAUGUCCAGCCACAUUGGGACUGAGACACGGCCCAAACUCCUACGGGAGGCAGCAGUGGGGAAUCUUGCGCAAUGGGCGAAAGCCUGACGCAGCCAUGCCGCGUGGAUGAUGAAGGUCUUAGGAUUGUAAAAUCCUUUCACCGGUGAAGAUAAUGACUGUAGCCGGAGAAGAAGCCCCGGCUAACUUCGUGCCAGCCGCCGCAGUAAAAC